GGUUUCUUUGUGUAGCCUUGGCUGUCCUGGAACUCACUCUGUAGACCAGGCUGGCCUUGAACUCACAGAAAUCUGCCUGCCUCUGCCUCCUGAGUGCUGGGAUUAAAGGCGUGCGCCACCACCGCCC
rnacentral:miRNA from 1 species